GGUGGCUCAGUGGUAGAGCAUGUGCUUUGCAUGUAUGAGGUCCUGGGUUCAACCCUGGCACCA
rnacentral:tRNA from 1 species